AGAGUUUGAUCAUGGCUCAGGACGAACGCUGGCGGCGUGCUUAACACAUGCAAGUCGAACGAAGAGCGAUGGAAGCUUGCUUCUAUCAAUCUUAGUGGCGAACGGGUGAGUAACGCGUAGUCAACCUGCCCUUCAGAGGGGGACAACAGUUGGAAACGACUGCUAAUACCGCAUACGAUCUGACCUCGGCAUCGAGGAUAGAUGAAAGGUGGCCUCUAUUUAUAAGCUAUCACUGAAGGAGGGGAUUGCGUCUGAUUAGCUAGUUGGAGGGGUAACGGCCCACCAAGGCGAUGAUGUGUAGCUGGUCUGAGAGGAUGAUCAGCCAGACUGGGAACUGAGACACGGUCCAGACUCCUACGGGAGGCAGCAGUGAGGAAUAUUUCACAAUGAGCGAAAGCUUGAUGGAGCAAUGCCGCGUGCAGGAUGAAGGCCCUCGGGUUGUAAACUGCUUUUAUAAGAGAAGA
rnacentral:rRNA from 1 species